GUUCUGAUAGUUUAUAUAAGAUACCAACAUGUGGAGUUGGAGAAGGUCUAACCUUAGGACACU
rnacentral:tRNA from 1 species